AUUGAACGCUGGCGGCAUGCCUUACACAUGCAAGUCGAACGGCAGCACGGGUGCUUGCACCUGGUGGCGAGUGGCGAACGGGUGAGUAAUACAUCGGAACGUACCUUAUCGCGGGGGAUAACGCAGCGAAAGCUGUGCUAAUACCGCAUACGCCCUGAGGGGGAAAGCGGGGGAUCGCAAGACCUCGCGCGAUUAGAGCGGCCGAUGCCUGAUUAGCUUGUUGGUGGGGUAAAAGCCCACCAAGGCGACGAUCAGUAGCUGGUCUGAGAGGACGAUCAGCCACACUGGGACUGAGACACGGCCCAGACUCCUACGGGAGGCAGCAGUGGGGAAUUUUGGACAAUGGGGGCAACCCUGAUCCAGCAAUGCCGCGUGAGUGAAGAAGGCCUUCGGGUUGUAAAGCUCUUUUGUCAGGGAAGAAACACCGGCUCUAACACAGUCCGGGAAUGACGGUACCUGAAGAGUAAGCACCGGCUAACUACGUGCCAGCCGCCGCCGUAA
rnacentral:rRNA from 1 species